rnacentral:rRNA from 1 species
AUACGGAGGGUGCAAGCGUUACUCGGAAUCACUGGGCGUAAAGCGCGCGCAGGCGGUCUUUUAAGUUGGAUGUGAAAGCCUACGGCUCAACCGUAGAACUGCAUCCAAAACUAUUAGACUAGAGUGUGGGAGAGGAAGAUGGAAUUAGUUGUGUAGGGGUAAAAUCCGUAGAGAUAACUAGGAAUACCAAAAGCGAAGGCAAUCUUCUGGAACACUACUGACGCUGAGGCGCGAAAGCGUGGGGAGCAAACAGGAGUAGAAACCCUAGUAGUCC